CCCUUAGAUGUUCUGGGCUGCACGCGCGCUACACUGAAGCUAUCAACACGUUUUCCCUCCCUGAGAAGGGCGGGUAACCUUUUGAAUCAGCUUCGUGGUAGGGAUCGGGGCUUGCAAUUGUUCCCCGUGAACCAGGAAUUCCUAGUAGACGCGAGUCAUAAGCUCGCAUCGAUUGAGUCCCUGCCCUUUGUACACACCGCCCGUCGCUACUACCGAUUGAACGUUUUAGUGAGGCAUUUGGACCGACGCAUCUCAGUUUAACCGCUGGUUUGUGUUGGAAAGACUUCCAAACUUGAGCGUUUAGAGGAAGUAAAAGUCGUAACA
rnacentral:rRNA from 1 species